AAAUAAACGUAAGGGACCAAAUGUGUAGUUAAGCCUAUUUUCAAUUGCAAAACAAUUUAAUUUGGAACUUUUAUUUAUUUAUAUGGUUUUAUGAACGUGGUUAGGACAAACUGAUUUGUAAAAUAUGGUUUUAUUAAUGGUUUAGGAGCAGCUGAUUUGUAUAAACCAGCAUCCCGUUUGAUGACCGGUCAGAUUUUUAAAACACCGGUAAAAGAGAAAUUUGUUGGAUAGGUUCACUUCCUAAAUGGGACCUACGGAUUAAUUAAUACAAGAAAAAGAAACAAAAUAAAAAAGGGGGUGUUAGAAGGUACUAAUGGGCUUGACCCAUGUUGACAUGUGUCAACGUGAAGUUAGAAACAAAAGGGAAUAAAAUCCCUAGUUUGUUUCAUAUAAGAGCGUGCGCGAGAAGUGCUUCGACGGCGGCUAAAAAGGAGACGAGAUUUUGUUUGCGUUGUUGUUUGUGUGGAAGUGUUUACUAGGUGAUGAUUAUUGGUGUUUCUAGUAUUUACGGGAAGAAUUUCUGUGUACCCAUUAUUGAUUAUUGUUGAGAGUUACUAUGGAUGAAGAAAAGCUUGCAUAUGAAUCAAGUCCGGUACACAUCUACUGGGACCUAGAAAAUACACCAAAGCCAAAUUUUCCGGAUCCACAUAAAGAUAAAAACCAAACUAUAUCUCUCGAUCUCAUAAGUGACAACAUCACUCGAUCUGUGAGAGCUGCUGGAAUGAGAGGAGCCAUAAAUAUUAAUAGUUACGCAGCAAAUACAUCGACUCUUAAGCAAAAAUACAAGGAAAUAC
rnacentral:lncRNA from 1 species